AAACACUGCUCUUUAACCUGAUGUGUCUUGUCUGUAGCUUCAUGGGCCACGCAACAAUGCUAGAUUAUAAGGACUUAUAACUGGGGCUCUUCAACUUUCAACUGAACUGUUCUUUUAAAAAAUAGGUACACUU